rnacentral:lncRNA from 1 species
CGAGAAUCAAAUAGUAAGGUAUGCUAGGGAUUACAUGGUGGAUACCACCUAUUGGAAAUAUGAGACAUAGACUAACAUGGAAACAAGGUAAGAAAAAUUCUGUUUUCCCAUAAACUACAGAAGUAUGUGGGCCUUUCAUUGAUGAGCAUUUUUUAUGUUUCAUGUACGGAGGAAGAACAAAUUAGAGUAAACAUUAUAGUCACAUGCUUAGUCGGUGGAGCAUGCUGCUCGGACAUACCCAACUAUUUGAUGUUCGAGAGUACAUUCUACAAAUGACUUGAUGGAAGGAAAUACCAUGGAAGCAAGGUGAUUGGAUUAUUCAUUUCUUUUGCACAAUUUAUUUACAUUUAUUUCAAAUAAUUACCAGUCACAUGUAAAAAAUGGCUAAUCAUUUGUUUUGUAGGUACUUACGUUUUUGAUCAUUUGGUUUUCUGUUUUUC